CAGAUACAUAGUAAUCCUGUAAUAUUAAAGUUGAUGCCUUCAGUUGCCAUUAUAAUUUUUGCAACAUGGGGUGUUGGUCCAUUAGCAUGUCAGAUAAGGAAAUUGCUUUUCUAGAGGAGUGAUAAUAGUUGGAAGAAAAGCAAAACACAUUAUAUAGUAACUUCUUACCUUCGGCCAUUACUUUUAUGGACUGGAGCAAUACUCUUUUGUAGAGCAUUGGAACCAGUAAUUCUACCUACAAAAACUAGCUAGGUUAUUAAGGAACGGCUUCUGCAUUUUGUAAGAUCAUUGUCAACUGUUCUGACCUUUGCCUAUUGUUUAUCAAGGUAUGCCGAUUCCCUUGCUUUUGACAUGAUCUAUUAACACUGCUGAACAAUUUGAUCACUAUUCACUUAACAAUAAUGCACCUAAUCACUUCCAGUUGAAAUAACUUGUGCUUAACUGCUUAUGCCCAUUGGGGUUUUCUCUAUUGGACUAUUAAACUAUAUGUUUUCCAAGAUAUCAUUAUUGUCAGCUUGAGUUCUUCAAUGUGAUUUUUUUUUUCAAAAUAAUCUGUUUACUAAGUUUUGCUUUGAUAAAACUAAUUGUGCAAUAUGCAGUGUAAUUCAGCAAACGCAUAAAUUCUUAUCUGAGAGCACUAAUCCAAGUGAGACG